AAGUCUCAUAAAGGUUUCUAAAUGGCUGAGGCCUUCUAACGAGAUGGCGGCCAAGAAGAGCAUAAAAUCGAGAUUAUGCAGGGAGAUCUCUUACUAGCAAGGCAAGACAGGCACCUUCAAACAUCUGUGCUCUCCAGCUGGCAGUGUUAGAAGUAUCUAUCCCCAAAUGAUUUCUCAGGGCAAAGUGCUGAUCUUGUAACACCACGGGAUAAUUCAGGGUGAAGGGGCCUUGAGAUCUCCAGUCCCAACUCCUGCUCAAAACAGUGUCAGCUCUGGGGUUUUAUCCAGGCAGAUCUGAAAAGCCUGUAAGAAGACAAUCUACAUUCUGCAUGAAUAAUAUUUACUGGGAUAGAGACUGAAUGCUGAGUGACUCUAAUUUAUUCUAAUGCUGGAUAAUACAUGUACUUGCUGUACAAAGCUUUGGCAAGAAGACCUAAGAUAGUAUUUGUCUGCAGGAGAAAGAUGUACAUUCACAUCCUGGUCUUAAAUGAGUAAGAGUAAAUAGGAGUACCAGGCAGAAUAGAGCUUCCUACAGCAUUUUCAUCGUGUUUAAGCAACUGCUACCACUUCCUCAGCUCUUGAAAGUGCUCACAGGUGUCAGUCUAAAUGUGACACUAUGCUGCAUGAAAACACUUCCACUGCUGCCCUGGAAAAAUAUGAGAUUUCAAUGCUGCUGCAAAAUGAGUAGAAGAAAAAUGUGAAUUGUAUCUGGCAGGUAGGAAAUUACAAAUAAACAAUAAUAGGCAGGAGAAAUGGAUGUAAAGCAUUUUGCAAGGCAAGUUGCCUCCAGGAGAUCUGACUGCUGAGGGCAGGAAGAGGCACAGCGGUGCUGGCAUUGCAGCUGAGCAGCAGUCAGGCUCACCGGCUUUGUGCAGGAACUUCAAGGUGAUGCCUUUAUGCCCUCCUCGUGCUCCUCACACUGGAGCAUGCCCUGUUCUCUGAAGUCACUGACAGCCUUGAGCCCAGCUGCAGGUCUUGAUUUACCACUGUCACCUUUCUACUGCUAAAACACCUGUGCAGAGUUGUCACAUGCUUGCAGAGGAUGUUGCUUUGGUGCUUUGAAAUGUACUGUACCAAUCAAGAAAGUGAAGGUCUAGGGUACAAAUGCAGCAGUGUCACUAAGGAAGAGGGAGAAGAAUAUAACAUAAUGUAAUCACACAGCUGAGAUAUCAGAGGUGGUUCACUUGAUUUGAUUUCUGCUUUUUUUUGUUUUCUAGUGGGGUUCAAUGACAAGCAAACACUUCUUCCAGAACCAUUUCAUCUCUUGUGGCAAUAUAUUUCAUCUCUUGUUGCUGCCCCCCCGUGACAUCUAAAAAGCUAGAGAGAUGUCCCUGAUAUUGGUGUUACUGUUUGAAUUUACUAGGCAGUGAUAAAACUAAACUUUAAAAAGACACCUUUGUGACAAAUCAUUGUUCUCUGUUCACAGCUGAUAACCACUGUGAUUUUUGUGUAUGGUUAAACUCAAUUGGAUGAAUUGCCUCUAGUUUCACAUGCCUCUCUCUGCCUUUGGAAAUCAUAUGAAGGUGGAUUGAAUUCCACUUGCUCAUAAUGGCUUACUGGUCUGGUACAUGAUCAUAAAACAGGUCAGUCAUCAAAGAUCAGGAGUUCAAAGCCCAAAAUUGAUUAUUUAUUUAUUGCUUUUGAUGCAGGUUCACUCUACAUGGUUUGCUUGUUCUAGAGCCUAAACAAAGCUACAAACACUUCCCUCCUGCAAGCAUAGGUACUAGUGAUAUUUUGGGACGUUUCCAUGGCUUGUACCCUCUUUGAGCAUGAGGCUGCACUGAGUGGGAAUAUCAACACUGUUCUAUAGCCCUUGGAUCUAUGUCUAGUGGGUUCUGUAGUGUAACUGAGAGCCACACUAACUGCACAUGUAAAAUCUCAGACUGCUAUCAGUUGAUGUCUGUGUAACUGUUCUGAAUCAUCUCUCCAGUAGUGCUCUGUGCUGAGCUUGAGGUGCUCCUGGCAGAAAACACUGCUUGGCUCUGGUGAGUGUCCUCCAACAGAUGCCUUGCCUUGUCACAGAAUCACUGAACUGUUGGGGCUUGAAGGUCCUGGGGUAUCUUGCUUCUCUGGUUCUUCCCAAGUGAUGGGAAAGGGGGCUCAGCUCUGUUUCACAUAGUCUAUGUUCCAUAUUCAGUCAUAUAUAAUCCACCAAUGGACAGAUGAUUCUGUGUACACAGGAGAAAAUGGGGCAGAGGAGAGGGAAGUUGUAUGGUAGACCCUAGCCAAUACCAUCACCAAUGGACUUAUUUAAUACUUUGAUGGUAUCAUCAGUAUAUUACAGGUCACUUAACAUAUUGUCUUUGCCUCUACUUUACCCUUGUGUGAUAGCUGCGGCAAAUCAUUACAAGACUAUUUAUGGCCAUCUCCCAGAAAACAAGUUCAGCUGGAGCUUGCAAUAAAACAACAUGGACACUGGCAGAUGGCAGAUGAAGCAGAAUGAAUGGCUUGGUUAUUCAUAAGGCAUGUGAGCCCUGAAAGACAGCAGUAAAAAGCAAUAAAGAUAGACUCUAAACUGGUGUGAGGCUUCAGGCACAGCAAUUUCUAGGUUGAGCAACAAACAGGACAAGCUGGUUUAUAGGCUUUUGAACCCCUUUUGGCAUGGGGACAUCAUCCUGCAGAGACCUUUUCUCUACUGUUGAGGCCAGUGUAUAAAGUUAUUUUAGAAACCAUAAUACGUGAAGAACUUUUCCACUGUCCAUCAGUCCACCUGUGCCAUGGUUAACUGGAGGGGGAGGGAGGACCCAGUAUCACUCACAUAUUGUUUUGAAGCCUGUUAGUUUUCUUCUCUCCUUGGAUCUCCCAAGCGUACCAGCUUCCCUUGGUGCCCUGUUAUGGAGAGGUGUUUGGAAGAAACACAUCUUGCACAGCUAAGCUGGAGCUAGUACUUGUCUAGUUUUCAUUUCCUGAGCUGGAUGCUAUACUAUCUUCAGAGAAGUGGAAAAAAUACACAAGAUAUUUCGUGUAAUACUUCCUGAGAAAUAAUACUAAUUAAUUGCAAUGCCUUCACUCUCACAUGGAGAAAACUGAUAUUUCAAACAAACCUGAAUUUAAAAAAAAAACAAAGUAGCACAUGGCAUGGCUUGUUCUUCUCUAUGUGGCUUACGCAUUUCUAUACUAAUGUUCAUCAUCUCAAACAUAUGGGAGUUACUUGUGUACUGUGUUGUUGUAUUCAUUUGCUGUUUGUUUGGAAGGACUGUCUGCAUUUCACUUAGUACUGCUUUAAACCUACCAUUUUUGUGCAGUGUUUUGUGAAGUGCUGUACAAAUGCCAGAGAAAGAUGUUCUAGCUUUAAGGAACCCUUGUAACUUUAAAGAGAACUAACUAGUAACUUUUAUGCCAAGUCACUGUAGUAGCCUCCAUUUAUCAGCAAGUCUCUGAAACAGAUGCCAUGUGGUCAUACACCAGAUUGGAGUUACCUUGUUCCCUGGAAUUUUUGUCCUUAUGUUUUUGGUUUAUGCAGGUCUCUGAUCCAGUUUUUUGGAGAGGCUGGAAAACGUGAAUUGAAUGCAACUAAUUCAGAUCAUUACUUGAAGCUUCUAAGGCAGUAUUUCCCAGGGAGUGUGAACUUCUUAUUUAUCUAUGAGCUGUAGCAGAUAAAACUGACAAAACUACCAAAAAUACACACUCAUUGUUCUAAGAUGCAGUGAAUGGAAAGUAUUUCAGCUUUAAACUUAUCCAAUUAUUUAUCUUGAUUUGGCUUAUAGGUAUUUACUAGUAAGAAGUAAGGGGUAGAGUUCUGUGGAUUCACCUUGUUUUCCAUAUGAAAGCAAACACAGACUUCCAUGUCAGAAUACACAAUCCAAAACUUUGCCUACUCUUUGUCUGUAGGUGUUUAAAAUGAGGCAAAAGAAAGAUGCAGGGAAGAUAGCAAUUCACAGACAACUUGGCAUCCCACCUUGCUGGCACUUGUGAGAAUUCUUUUCUUGUUUCUUCUUUUUUCUCAGCAAGAAAAAGGCAAAGGAAAUAAGAUCUGGGUACACUUACACUCUUUCCUAG
rnacentral:lncRNA from 7 species